AACGAACGCUGGCGGCAUGCCUAACACAUGCAAGUCGAACGAGACCUUCGGGUCUAGUGGCGCACGGGUGCGUAACGCGUGGGAACCUGCCCUUAUGUUCGGCAUAACUCCCCGAAAGGGGUGCUAAUACCGGAUAAUGUCUUCUGACCAAUGAUUUAUCGCCUUUGGAUGGGCCCGCGUUGGAUUAGCUAGUUGGUAGGGUAAAAGCCUACCAAGGCGACGAUCCAUAGCUGGUCUGAGAGGAUGAUCAGCCACACUGGGACUGAGACACGGCCCAGACUCAUACGGGAGGAAGCAGUGGGGAAUAUUGGACGAUGGGCGAAAGGCUGAUACAGCGAUGCCGCGUGAGUGAUGAAGGCCUGAGGGUUGGAAAGAUCUUUUACCCGGGAUGAUAAUGACAGUACCGGGAGAAUAAGCUCCGGCUAACUCCGUG
rnacentral:rRNA from 1 species